rnacentral:tRNA from 1 species
GGCCUGAUGGUCUAGGGGUAUGAUUCUCGCUUUGGGUGCAAGAGGUCCCGGGUUCAAAUCCCGGUCAGGCCC